rnacentral:rRNA from 1 species
CCUACGGGAGGCAGCAGUGGGGAAUAUUGGGCAAUGGGCGCAAGCCUGACCCAGCAACGCCGCGUGAAGGAAGAAGGCUUUCGGGUUGUAAACUUCUUUUAAGAGGGAAGAGCAGAAGACGGUACUUCUUGAAUAAGCCACGGCUAACUACGUGCCAGCAGCCGCGGUAAUACGUAGGUGGCAAGCGUUGUCCGGAUUUACUGGGUGUAAAGGGCGUGCAGCCGGGAAGACAAGUCAGAUGUGAAAUCCCGCGGCUCAACCGCGGAACUGCAUUUGAAACUGUUUUUCUUGAGUACCGGAGAGGUCAUCGGAAUGCCUUGUGUAGCGGUGAAAUGCGUAGAUAUAAGGAAGAACACCAGUGGCGAAGGCAGAUGACUGGACGGCAACUGACGGUGAGGCGCGAAAGCGUGGGGAGCAAACAGGAUUAGAUACCCCGGUAGUC